rnacentral:rRNA from 1 species
AGAGUUUGAUCCUGGCUCAGAGCGAACGUUAGCGGCGGGCCUAACACAUGCANGUCGAACGAGAAUGAGGGGGCAACUCCUCUAGUAAAGUGGCGGACGGGUGCGUAACACGUAGGUAAUUUACCUUCCGGCGGGGGACAACAGUCCGAAAGGAUUGCUAAUACCGCAUACGUCGGCGAGAUCUCCGGAUCUUGUCGGGAAAGAUGGCCUCUCCUUGGAAGCUGUCACCGGAAGAUGAACCUGCGGCCCAUCAGCUUGUUGGUGAGGUAACGGCUCACCAAGGCAAAGACGGGUAGCUGGUCUGAGAGGAUGAUCAGCCACACUGGGACUGCGACACGGCCCAGACUCCUACGGGAGGCAGCAGUGGGGAAUAUUGGGCAAUGGGCGAAAGCCUGACCCAGCCACGCCGCGUGAGUGAUGAAGGCCUUCGGGUCGUAAAGCUCUGUGGGGAGGGACGAAUAAGCUGGGUGCUAAUAUCACCCGGCCCUGACGGUACCUCCUUAGCAAGCACCGGCUAACCAUGUGCCAGCAGCCGCGGUAAUACAUGGGGUGCAAACGUUGCUCGGAAUUAUUGGGCGUAAAGCGCACGUAGGCGGUUCGUUAAGUCAGAUGUGAAAGCCCCCGGCUCAACCGGGGAAGUGCAUCUGAAACUGGCGAGCUANAGUACGAAAGAGGGUCGCGGAAUUCCCGGUGUAGAGGUGAAAUUCGUA